rnacentral:rRNA from 1 species
AUACGAAAGUUGCAAGCGUUGUUCGGAUUUACUGGGCGUAAAGAGAUCGUAGGUGGUUUGUUAAGUCGGAUGUGAAAUCCCGGGGCUCAACCCCGGAACUGCAUUCGAUACUGGCAGACUAGAGUUUGGGAGGGGUAAGCGGAAUUCCGUGUGUAGCAGUGAAAUGCGUAGAUAUACGGAGGAACACCUGAGGCGAAGGCGGCUUACUGGACCAAUACUGACACUGAGGAUCGAAAGCGUGGGUAGCAAACAGGAUUAGAAACCCUAGUAGUCC